rnacentral:rRNA from 1 species
UUGAAUGGGCGAAACUGAUCCAUCAAUACCGCGUGUGUGAAGAAGGCCUGAGGGUUGUAAAGCACUUUCAAUAGGAAGGAAUACCUAUCGGUUAAUACCCGGUAGACUGACAUUACCUAUACAAGAAGCACCGGCUAACUCCGUGCCAGCAGCCGCGGUAAUACGGAGGGUGCAAGCGUUAAUCGGAAUUACUGGGCGUAAAGCGUGCGUAGGCGGUUAUUUAAGUCAGAUGUGAAAGCCCUGGGCUUAACCUGGGAACUGCAUUUGAUACUGGAUGACUAGAGUUGAGUAGAGGAGAGUGGAAUUUCAGGUGUAGCGGUGAAAUGCGUAGAGAUCUGAAGGAACACCAGUGGCGAAGGCGGCUCUCUGGACUCAAACUGACGCUGAGGUACGAAAGCGUGGGUAGCAAACAGGAUUAGAUACCCUGGUAGUCCACGCCGUAAACGAUGUCAACUAACCGUUGGGUUCUUUAAGAACUUAGUGGUGGAGCUAACGUAUUAAGUUGACCGCCUGGGGAGUACGGCCGCAAGGCUAAAACUCAAAUGAAUUGACGGGGGCCCGCACAAGCGGUGGAGCAUGUGGUUUAAUUCGAUGCAACGCGAAGAACCUUACCUAUCCUUGACAUCCAGAGAAUCUGUUAGAGAUAGUAGAGU